UACGUAGGGUGCAAGCGUUGUCCGGAAUUAUUGGGCGUAAAGAGCUCGUAGGCGGUCUGUCACGUCGGCUGUGAAACCCGGGGCUCAACCCCGGGCCUGCAGUCGAUACGGGCAGACUAGAGUGCGGUAGGGGAGACUGGAAUUCCUGGUGUAGCGGUGAAAUGCGCAGAUAUCAGGAGGAACACCGGUGGCGAAGGCGGGUCUCUGGGCAGUAACUGACGCUGAGGAGCGAAAGCGUGGGGAGCGAACAGG
rnacentral:rRNA from 1 species